GGGUGCGAUCAUGCCAGCACUAAUGCAUCGGAUUCCAUUAGAACUCUGAAGUUAAGCGUGCUUGGGUGAGAAUAGUUCUAAGAUGGGCUUGUCUUAUGACUUUCAUAGAUACCGGCUAGUGGCAUGCC
rfam:Cephalotus follicularis DNA, scaffold: scaffold751, isolate: St1.